UAUGUGAUCGUCUCUCGCAUAUCAAUAAGCGGAGGAAAAGAAACUAACAAGGAUUCCCCUAGUAACGGCGAGUGAAGCGGGAAGAGCUCAAAUUUGAAAUCUUAAAGGGUUUCCCUUUACGAAUUGUAGUUUAAAGAAGUGUUUUCUGUUGAGGUCUUGGUAAAAGUUCUUUGGAAUAGGACAUCAUAGAGGGUGAGAAUCCCGUAUUUGACCUUUACUUUCAACCUUUGUGAUACACUUACAAAGAGUCGGAUUGUUUGGGAAUGCAGUCCAAAAUGGGUGGUAAAUUUCAUCUAAAGCUAAAUAUUGGCGAGAGACCGAUAGCGAACAAGUACCGUGAGGGAAAGAUGAAAAGAACUUUGAAAAGAGAGUUAAACAGUACGUGAAAUUGUCAAAAGGGAAGCGUUUGACACCAGUGUUGUUUUUCUGAAAAUCAAUUAAAGAACUGUUUAUGCUAAGCUGUUUAGACUUUAUCAGCUAAUCUGUUUAGUUUUGAGCUUUUCUUUAAUGCACUUUUCAGUUAACAAGUCAACAUCAAUUUCUUUUGCUGUAAAAAAGCUUGAGGAAGGUGGCUUGAGAUUCGUCUUAAGUGUUUAUAGCCUCUUGCCUAUGCAGUCGGAGAGAUUGAGGUCUGCAGCGUAGAUCCUUCGGGGCUAAAUGCAUUUGUGCUAAGUUAUAGCAUUUUAUAGACAACUUGUUGACUAUGAUUUGUCUUGUAGCUUACUCGCUUAUGUUAUUUUUACCUACGCUUAGGAUGUUGAGUAGCGACAUACGCAC
rnacentral:rRNA from 1 species